AAUGCAGGCCGUUCUAUCGCUCUAAGCAAUUAGGGAGGAAAGUCCGGACAACACAGGGUACCGUACCACCUAACGGGUGGGGGCGCAGGCGGCAACAAAUGCGUUACAGAUAGUGCCGCAGAGAACUAUACCGCCCCGUAGCACGUGUGUUACAGGGUAAGGGUGAAAACGCGGGGUAAGAGCCCACGGAUGUACCAGUAAUGUUGCAUCGGGUAAACCUUACGGGUUGAAAAGCCAAAUAGGUUGCAAUUGGCUACGUGUAGCCAGGGGGCGGCCCGCUCCUCAUUUGCAAUGGGUAGGCAGAUACAGGUUACAGGCGACUGUAAUCGCAGAUAAAUGAUAGAAGUCCCGCCCCGGCGGGAAACAGAACCCGGCUUACAGGCCUGCAUUUUUU
rnacentral:RNase_P_RNA from 1 species